GUUUUUGUUUGGUAGUACUGGGGAUUAAACCCAGUACCAUUCAACUCAUACAAUCCCAGUUCUUUUGAUUUUAUUUUGAGAUUAAGUGUUAAGUUUUGGAUGUGAGGUGUCCCCCAAAUGCUCACAUGCGAGACAAUGCAAGAAGGUUCAGAGAGGAAUUGAUUGGAUUGUGAAAGCCUUAACCCUAUCAGUGAAUUAAUUCUUGCAUGGGAUUAACUGAGUUGUCACUGGAGGUAAUAGUGCAUUGGGGUCAGGGCUUUGGGGUAUAUAUUUAUGUCUGGUAAGUGGAGUUUUUCUCUUUGUUUUCUCAUCACCAUGUGAGCUGUUUUCCUCUGUCACACUCUUUCUUUCCACCAAGAUGUUCUGCUUCACUUUGAGCCCUGAGGAAUGAAACUGGCUUUCUAUGGACUAAAACCUCUAAGACUGUGAGCCCUCAAAUAAACUCUUAAUCCUCUAUAAAUGUGCUCGUUCUUUUAGUCACAGUGGUGAAAUAGCUAACUAAAAUGCAAGGUCUUGCUAAGUUACUGAGGCUGGCUUUGAACUUGUGAUCUUCCUGGCUCAGCCUCCCAAAUUUUUGGGAUUAUAGGUAUGCAACACAGUUUGGGAUUAUAGGUAUGCAACACAGCUGGUCUCCUGCCUGGUUUUUAAAAUCAUGAUGAUACUGGCUUCAUAGAAUGAAUUGGGGAGUGUUUCUUAUUUUUCUAGUUCGAGGAGUAACUUGAGGAGCAUUGU
rnacentral:lncRNA from 1 species